UGGGGAAUAUUGGACAAUGGGCGAAAGCCUGAUCCAGCCAUGCCGCGUGUGUGAAGAAGGUCUUCGGAUUGUAAAGCACUUUAAGUUGGGAGGAAGGGCAGUAAGCGAAUACCUUGCUGUUUUGACGUUACCGACAGAAUAAGCACCGUCUAACUCUGUGCCAGCAGCCGCGGUAAUACAGAGGGUGCAAGCGUUAAUCGGAAUUACUGGGCGUAAAGCGCGCGUAGGUGGUUCGUUAAGUUGAAUGUGAAAGCCCCGGGCUCAACCUGGGAACUGCAUCCAAAACUGGCGAGCUAGAGUAGGGCAGAGGGUGGUGGAAUUUCCUGUGUAGCGGUGAAAUGCGUAGAUAUAGGAAGGAACACCAGUGGCGAAGGCGACCACCUGGGCUCAUACUGACACUGAGGUGCGAAAGCGUGGGGAGCAAACAGG
rnacentral:rRNA from 1 species